GCGGGUGUAGUUUAAUGGUAAAACCUCAGCCUUCCAAGCUGAUGACGAGGGUUCGAUUCCNUGGUAAAACCUCAGCCUUCCAAGCUGAUGACGAGGGUUCGAUUCCCUUCACCCGCU
rnacentral:tRNA from 1 species